AGAAAGAAAGAAAGAAAGAAAGAAAGAAAGAAAGAAAGAAAGAAAGAAAGAAAGAAAGAAAGCUCGCACUAAGUUUUGGCGCACAGCGAAGGCGCAUAUCCGUGUGAUUUCCGCCCGAGAGGGAGUCCGACGAUGCGGGCGCCAAGGCAGCGCAGAGCUUGCCAAGAAAAGAAAUCCUGCGCGCCCGCCGCCUCCUCCUCCUCCUCCAGGCUUCUUCGGGGAAGCCAGAUGGGCGGAAAGGCGCUGGGAGAGCCCCUCCGGCUGUCCCGGACCAAGGAGGGGAUGGGGAGGGGGACACAGGAUCGACCCCCCUCCCUCAGGCAGCCGUUGCUGGGGUGCCGUAGGAGGCGAUCGAGCGGAGAGGAGCAGCCAACAGAGCGGAAAGCCAAGCACGCUUCCCCCGCCUGAGACGAGCUGGCAGCCGCUGCCUCGCCCGGCUUUCGCUUGCCCUCCCUACCUGAAGACCGCCUCUUCCUUGAACUCCUUGCCCGGGGAAACCAAGCCGUUCUUUUUGUUGAAAAGCUUCUGCAACAAGAUGAAAAUUUGAACUGACACCAUGAAGGACUACAUCGGGCAGAUUAUUCCUGACUGGAAUCAGAAGCUUGCUGGAUAUGUUGCUGUGCUUAUGUCAACACCACUGAAGACAUCCAUCAGAGGAGAAUCUUCAUGAUAAAGUGACCUUCACCACAUUAGAUGUUUUGGAAAAUAACAUCAGGAGAAAUCAGAAUUGCUUCUGGUGGGAUAAAUCCUUUUCUAUUUGUUGGAUGUUGGAGUACUUUCAGUGGUCUAAAUCCUGGUGAAGCUUGAAUAAUAGAGCAGAUUUCUGGUGGGCUACGUAAAUACUGAAUGAAAUAGAAGAACAUUAUUCAUACAACAUGGGGUAUUUUUCAGAACAUUAAAUUAAUGGGUAAGCAUUGCAUGUAUAAUCUUUUGGCUCUUGUGCUCACACUCCUCUGUUUUUUUCUAAAGUGGAUAUGAGAUCAAAACCACUUCCUUUCAUUUUUAAACAGAGUUAUGUCUUAUGAAUAUCCUAGUUAAUUUAAACUAGGAAUGGGCAAACUAAGAGCAAAGGCUGUAUUCAGAUUCUGCAUUUCCUGGACAAAAAAAAAAGGACAGAUCACAACAAAACUAAAUUUAAUUGUAAAAAUUAAGUACAGCUAAUAUUAAUCUCCCAAGUAUUCAAUAACUUCUCUGUUCCUAUAUAUAUAUAUAUAAAAUAAUUCUUCCAAUUACUUGAAAGAGUUUGGGGGUACAGGUCUCUUUUAAACGCUGGUUUGCUAGAAAGCCAAAUCAAAUAACAUUUGGUUCUGACUGCUUUAAACCAUUUAUAACUUAAAAUAAACAUGGGGCCUUCAAGUUUGGAUUUAAUGAUGAUUCUAAAAGAUCUGCAUUUAAACCCUUCAGCCCAUGCCAGAGGAAAAAAAGGAAGGGAAAGCACAUAAACCAGAAGCUUGCCGUGAUGAUACAAAACUAAUGCUGAAUUUUGACGAUAUGUUUGAAAGGAGCCAUAGAGCAAUAUCAGCCUAUCUGAAACUCUCCUUCAUGGAAUCAGUAUAAAAUAUACCUUGGGAGGGGAAGAGUUCUGCAAGUUGGCAGCAAAAGUUGGCCAUUAAUUUUACAGAUGUUUUUGUAAAACACUUUAGAAAAAAAAAGUGAUACCUGAAAUGAUAGUGUAUAUAUUAAAACAAGGAAGAGCCCAAAUAAAGGAGGAAAGUGGUAUUCGUGGUUCAGAACCAACAUCUUCAACUAAAGUGUGAAACCAGAAGAAAACCAGACCUAAGAAUAUAUCACAUUUCAGAGACAGAGAACUUUGAGAACAUUUGAAAUCCUGCUCUCUUCUACCUUGAUGAUUUAAAUAUCAAACAAACAAACAAACAAUUGUAUACUGAUUUAAUAUUGAAUCACAGAAAAAGUAAAUAAACAUAUUACCUGAUAAAUGGUCCUUUGGGGAGAAAGAGGAGCAAUUGCUUCUGAAUUCACAUUUGGACACUCUUUGUAUGCCAAACAGUUGUCCUGGACUGAGGCUUCAUGCGUGGACAAUAAAUCUAACUGUAACCAAAACAAAAUAAAAAUGCAAGGGGUUAUGGUUAAUCAGAGGGUGUGCUUCUCAAGGAAAAUAUUUCAUGACCUUCAGUUUACAGGUAUAUUUUACCUGAACUGGACAAGACAAAACAGCCUUCCCUUUGUCAAAAUAUGCUGUGCUACUGGCUUAUAAAAAACUGGCUUCUCAUAGACACCAUUAUGGCUUAAGAGCAUCAAAGUAGUUGUUGUUCAAGUAGAUAGUUACAUGAUACUCCUUUGAACUGGAAACAUGUUUAAUAUAAAAAUGUCUGGAUAUAACAUUCAGUCUUAAGGUGCAUCUCAGCUAUUGAUAAUUCAAAAUGUACAGAAAAUAAUCCUUUAUUUGCUU